AAUUUGGACCUCUGACCGACGUGCAAACUGGUCGGAGGGCUGCAACACACGGGCUGCCCAAGUGGGCCGCAAUUUUACGGUCCUUUAUGGACUCCUGGCUUCCGCGCCUCCAUGCCUCUUACACCCCGCCAGCCACAAACUGCCCGAACCGGCGUUUGAUCUUGCCCUCGCCUGGGGAAAGUGUCUUUCCCGAGCAGUUGAAGCACUCCCGAGCAGUUGAAACACUGGGUGCUUGGGGUGAGCUUUGAAUCCCCCAAGUCCAGGACGUGCAUCCGCCCCCUCCGCACCCCGCACUCAAGGCACUGCUGUCACCCACAGUCCCGCCAAUGGCAGAACACAGUAGGAGACCCCUGCCAGAACGCAGAUAGCAGACAGAGUUGCUCAGUACCGCUGGUGACGCCACUCGGCGAGCGCAAGUGGAUAAAUAGAAACGUCUGCCACAGCGAAGAUGAAAGGAAACCCGCAGCUAAUGGCUCGGCAGUGAUGCGCCAGAUGGCCUUAAGUUUUCCACAGCCUGGCUUCAUCUUGAGAUGGCUAUUCGUAGAAGUCG
rnacentral:antisense_RNA from 1 species